GUUUUAAAAACACAAAUCACUAUAAUGCAAGUAUAAACGGUUAAUAAAGCAAUUCCUUCAUACGAAAUACAAGUCUUUAAGGAAAAAUAAAGUCUCUUACCAGAGUUCCAGCACUUGGCAAAUGAAGAAAGACUUGAUUGAAGCUGUAAUUGAAUUGCAGGAGAUAAAUCAAAGCUGAAGCAGCAUUGCAGGGGUUAAUCAUGACUCAAGGCACCUUGGACAGUUCCAUCCAAUCUAAGAUUAGGGCAACCCUGGAGUACACAGCAUUGUUCUCGGUGGAAGUGGUGGCGGGACAUGACGCUUUGCGACACAUGGCUUGAGUCAAUUACCAUCUUUUCAUGCUCCUUCGCUGUGGCGGAUGUUGGAUGGGAGGGGGACACAUUGUGGAGUAGAAAAUUUAUUGCUGUUUAUAGGAGGUUAGGUUUCAGUUCUACAGGCCCGCUAGUUUUCUCCUUUACUAGACAUGUUUUUCGCUCAUGGAUUAUGGUUCUACUGCCAAGUCUGGGUACUAGCCCCUUGACUCCAACCAGCACCUUGUUGUAACAGAUCUCCUGGCACCCUUACUCGGUACCUCCGUUAACAGAUGCUUCCUAGCUGACAACAAUGACUAUAAGCACCGCACCGGACACCACAACAACCGCAGACUCCACAACCGCCGUAGCUUAACUGGAAUCUCGCCAUCUUCCUUCCACCCUGGAUCAACCACUGACCUCUAGAACCAUGUGGGGGAGACCUCUCCUCCAGGAGAGCGUAACAGGACCAGCUCUUAAAAGGGCAAAGUGAUUAGAACCCAGGGGAGUAUACAGAGUAGAGCAAUCCCCAAUGUGGUUAUAGCAGUUCCCUACAACACUAGACGAGGCUGCAAGUUGAGAGUAAGAAUGUCUGACAGUUUAAUGGAACCACUGGUCUUUUAUACAAGUUUUACAGCAAAGGGGACGCCCAGGUGGACCUAGUUGGGCACUGAAUACAAAACAUACAAGCCAAUAAAAACAGAUGUUUACAUUCAGACACUCCCAUACAGUGUACACAGUUUCUCCCCUCUGCCUGUGAUACAAUUAACGAAGACAAUGGGCUAACUCAAUUAACUCUAAGCAGAAAAAAAACAUACAUGUUUACUAUGCCUGGAAAACGUUCCAAAACACCACAUAUCCCCAUAAAUAUCACAUCCCCUGAUAGCCCCUAUCUGGGUGACAACAAAUCCAAAAAUCACCCAGAUCAGAGCAGGGGUUCAGAAAUUCCUUGGAAGUCUUUUUGACCCACUGUGCACAUGGUCCCAUGCCCAAAACUGUUCCAGAGAAUUACGGCUAACAGUCGGUCUCUCUGUCUGGAGUACAAAGUACAUACUUCACAUGAACAGAGCAAAGUAUAUUGCAGGGCCUAUAGUCCUGAGGCAAGAGGCUGGCCAGUAGGCCCCUCCAAGAACCAGUGGCGAAGUUGCUUUUGUCACACUUGUCUUUUACUAGAUGCAAAGAGGGCUUUAAGCAUUGCGGGAUAGGGUGUCUUUUGCCUGGGAGGGGCACAUGUCGGGAGAGAGAUGUGACAUGAC